CACCCUGUUUGGCCAGGAUGCCUUUGGGACGCUUGGCAGGGAGUGCCCGCUCCGAGGAGGGAAGCGAGGCCUUUCUGGAGGGAAUGGUGGAUUGGGAGCUGAGUAGGCUGCAGCGACAAUGCAAAGUGAUGGAAGGGGAGAGGCGGGCCUACAGCAAGGAAGUCCACCAGCGCAUCAACAAGCAACUUGAGGAGAUCCGGCGCUUGGAGGAGGUACGGGGUGAUCUCCAGGUGCAGAUCAGUGCAGCCCAGAACCAGGUCAAGCGGCUUCGGGACAGUGAGCGGCUGGAGAACAUGGACCGCCUGCUGCAGGGCCGGGCCCAGGUGCAGGCGGAGAUCGAGGAGCUGCAGGAGCAGACCAGGGCCCUGGACAAGCAGAUCCAGGAGUGGGAGACGAGGAUCUUUACCCACAGUAAGAAUGUCAGGUCCCCGGGAUUCAUCCUGGAUCAGAAGGUCAAGAUCGGGCGAAGGAUCAGGAUCCUAGAAAACCAGUUGGACAGGGUCACCUGUCACUUUGACAACCAGCUGGUGCGGAAUGCGGCCCUGCGGGAGGAGCUGGAUCUGCUGCGGAUUGACAGGAACCGCUAUCUGAACGUGGACCGCAAGCUGAAGAAGGAGAUCCACCACCUGCAGCACCUGGUCAGCACCCUUAUCCUCUCCUCCACCUCUGCCUACGCCGUCAGGGAGGAGGCGAAGGCCAAGAUGGGCUUGCUGCGGGAGCGCGCGGAGAAGGAGGAGGCCCAGAGCGAGAUGGAGGCGCAGGUCCUGCAGCGGCAGAUCUCGCACCUGGAGCAGCUGCACCACUUCCUCAAGCUCAAGAACAACGACCGGCAGCCGGAUCCCGAUGUCCUGGAGAAGCGUGAAAAGCAGGCCGGGGAGGUGGCCGAGGGCGUCUGGAAGACCUCCCAGGAGAGGCUGGUGCUUUGCUACGAGGACGCCCUGAAUAAACUGUCCCAGCUGAUGGGGGAGAGUGACCCUGACCUGUUGGUGCAGAAGUAUCUGGAGAUCGAGGAGCGCAACUUUGCUGAGUUCAACUUCAUCAACGAGCAGAACUUGGAGCUGGAGCAUGUGCAGGAAGAGAUCAAGGAGAUGCAGGAGGCUUUGGUGAGCGCACGUGCCAGCAAGGAUGACCAGCAUUUGCUGCAGGAGCAGCAGCAGAAGGUGUUGCAGCAGCGCGUGGACAAGGUGCACUCGGAGGCUGAGCGCCUUGAGGCCCGCUUCCAGGAUGUGCGGGGACAGCUGGAGAAGCUCAAGGCUGAUAUCCAGCUCCUCUUCACCAAGGCCCAUUGCGACAGCAGCAUGAUCGAUGACCUCCUUGGGGUCAAGACCAGCAUGGGAGACCGGGACAUGGGCCUCUUCAUGAGCCUCAUUGAGAAGCGGCUGGUGGAGCUCCUGACAGUGCAGGCCUUCCUACAUGCCCAGGUGGGAGGCAGCAGGGAGCCGGGACAGGAGGCUGGUCUCGGGGGUGGCCCAGCUGACCGCAGGCUCCCACACUCUCCAGAGCUUCACCUCCCUGGCCGACGCUGCCCUCCUAGUGCUGGGCCAGAGCCUGGAGGACCUUCCGAAGAAGAUGGCCCCACUUCAGCCCCCUGACACUCUAGAAGACCCCCCGGGUUUUGAGGCCAGCGAUGACUACCCCAUGAGCAGGGAGGAGCUGCUGAGCCAAGUGGAGAAGCUGGUGAGAGUGGGGCCUGCGGGGGUGGGGCCAGGCCUCAGUGUGUGUCGGGGCCCAGCUCACCUUCCCUGCAGGUGGAGCUCCAGGAGCAGGCGGAGGCGCAGCGCCAGAAGGACCUGGCCGCCGCCGCCGCGAAGCUGGACGGCACCCUGAGCGUGGACCUGGCCAGCACCCAGAGGGCCGGCUCCAGUACCGUCCUGGUGCCCACCAGGCACCCCCAUGCCAUCCCCGGGUCCAUUUUGAGCCACAAGACUAGCAGAGACCGUGGCUCUCUUGGCCGCGUCACUUUUGGCGGCCUCAGCUCCAGCACUGGGCAUUUGCCCAGCCACAUCACGCACGGUGACCCCAACACUGGCCACGUGACCUUCGGCUCCACCAGUGCCUCGAGUGGGGGCCACGUGACCUUCAGACCCGUCAGCGCCAGCAGCUACCUGGGCUCCACUGGAUACGUGGGGUCCAGCAGGGGCGGAGAAAACACAGAGGGUGGUGUGGAGAGCGGAGGCACAGCGUCGGAUUCGAGCGGAGGCCUCGGGUCCAGCAGAGACCACGUCUCCAGCACCGGCCCUGCCUCCAGCACUGGCCCGGGCUCCUCCACCAGCAAAGACUCCCGGGGCUAACACGAGGGGCACGCAGCCCCCACCCUGCCCUGGCUCUCUGUGGGGUCUUUUUUUGUGUCUCUACUUCCCCUGUUUGCCUUGUGGGUCUCUGUCUUUUUCUCCCAGUGGCAGGCCUCUGUCUUUUUGCCCCUUCAACUGUUUUCAUCUGCCCUUCAUCACCGCCUCACCUAUGUCUCCCGGUUCCUUUCUCUCUGCUCCUGACCCUGCUUUUCCCUCUGACUCCUGAUCUCCUGUUCUCUGGGCUUCCUGGUCAGUGUCUGUCCGUCUUGUCUCCAUAUCUGCCCCUUCACUGUCUGCUGAGCCCUGGCCCCCUGUGGAUCCCCCACCUCCUGUUUCCGGCUCACUCUCCUCAUCUCCAUCUCCCAGGCUCUCCACGCAUCUUGUGUCCCUGUCUCUGUAGCUCCUUACUCCCCAAGAGCCCCCCAGUGCUGACAGGUGUGGGAAAAGUCAGGGCGAAGAUGCCAGGUUCAGCAUGGGAAAAUGGGACUGUGGAAAUAAAGUAUAUGUGUGGAGA
rnacentral:sRNA from 1 species